CUCAAUUACCACAGGUGGUCCACAGACCAACCAUCCAACGUAGGCUUACCGCCAACCCGUCUCGAUACCACACAGCGUUUCUCAUUCGCAACGCAGACCGAAUCAUCACUUGGCGAAAGUCCUCAUUUGAGAUUUCGCACACACUCCAACCAGGAGGCCUCAACCACUCCAUAUCCUUGGGUCACAAUCACAUUUACGAUUCAUUAUAACAAGCCAUGUUCACCUCUACUUGCUCUUAAACAUCUAAGCACUCUCAAUUUCCACAAUUAUAAACAGCCUUUAC
rnacentral:lncRNA from 1 species